rnacentral:rRNA from 1 species
CACGUAGGGUGCGAGCGUUGUCCGGAAUUAUUGGGCGUAAAGAGCUCGUAGGCGGUGUGUCGCGUCGGCCGUGAAAACCUGCAGCUUAACUGUGGGCUUGCGGUCGAUACGGGCAUCACUGGAGUUCGGCAGGGGAGACUGGAAUUCCUGGUGUAGCGGUGAAAUGCGCAGAUAUCAGGAGGAACACCGGUGGCGAAGGCGGGGAUCUCUGGGCCGAUACUGACGCUGAGGAGCGAAAGCGUGGGGAGCGAACAGGG